rnacentral:lncRNA from 1 species
CCAGUCAUACUAUUCCACUUUAGCUAAUGAUGAAACAGAAUUUUGAUUUGUCUGCAGAUGAUGAUGAUGAUGUCCACUCCUGGCUCGAUGCGCUUAACGAAAAGGAACUCUCUAGAUUAAGAAAAAAUUUCCUUCGUAAUUAAGCAGCAUCCUUUAAGUGAGUUGGGGGGCGGCUUUGUAUAGUAGGGGUGCGCCGGACCGCCGACGAAUAAUAGGUACCCCCGCCCCAGGCAGAGUUAGUGAGCAGUGUAAUAGGCGACCAUUUCGCGCGGUUCGGGGGGCAG